rnacentral:rRNA from 1 species
UAAGGAAUAUUGGUCAAUGGACGCAAGUCUGAACCAGCCAUGCCGCGUGGAGGAUGAAGGUCCUCUGGAUUGUAAACUUCUUUUAUUUGGGAAGAAACCCAUGUUUUCUAAUGUGGUUGACGGUACCAGAUGAAUAAGCACCGGCUAACUCCGUGCCAGCAGCCGCGGUAAUACGGAGGGUGCAAGCGUUAUCCGGAUUCACUGGGUUUAAAGGGUGCGUAGGCGGGUUGGUAAGUCCGUGGUGAAAUCUCCGAGCUUAACUCGGAAACUGCCGUGGAUACUAUCAAUCUUGAAUGUCGUGGAGGUAAGCGGAAUAUGUCAUGUAGCGGUGAAAUGCUUAGAGAUGACAUAGAACACCAAUUGCGUAGGCAGCUUACUACACGAAUAUUGACGCUGAGGCACGAAAGCGUGGGGAGCAAACA